ensembl:lncRNA
UGAUCUCAAAAAAGCAUGGACUCCUCUUCAGCAUAGUGAUACAUGAUGCACAUGAUGAUACAGUUCAUCAAAAAUAGUCUUUCCAGUAUCUGUGACCUAUCUGUGAUACAGAUUUGGUUCAGUGCACAUUGUGUCCCAAGCAAAGACCAUCAAGUGACGUUUUCGCUCUCCUGCGCCGCCAGCGCAGGGAUGCUGGUGAUUCCAUCCGGCUCCAGGCAUUGAAGCAUGGCGAAGGAGCAGCGGCAGGCACUUGGGCAUCCGCUCAGGGCUGGUGCAACCAGGACGAGAAGCAUAACCACAACGGGGGCCACCUUACGGUCAGCCAUGGUGGGGUUCGAGUGAGUUUGUUAUCCUGGGAGAAACUCCACCCUGCAGCAGGAAUUCUGGAUGUGAGGGGAAGCUUCUCUUCUCUUGGCCAGCACUCAGGGUUAUGAUCCCAUCCAGGAGCUGAGCUAUUGAGCCGUGUAGCAGGGCCCAGGGGAACAGUGGGCUGUUGCCUCCUCUCCUCCUCUCACUACCUCCCAGUCCGAGAUGGAGAAACGGAGGGGAGGGGCAAAGCAGUCCAUUAGUUGAGUGUGAGUGUGAGAUGAGAGAGAGCAGUGGUCACCAGACACCUCUGUGACACUUGCAGAAGCAAGCGGGGAAGCCAAACCCAUGAGCUGCAGGUGGACGCGGAUGGAUCAGAAGUGCUCCACCUGUUAGAGCUGACAGUGAACUUUGAGCUUGUAAAAAAACAACAGUUAAUGACUUUUCAUGCUCAAAGGGCACACUGUAAAAAGUUUAUUGUCAAAUUAACAGUAACCUACUGGCAGAGGCGGACAGUAUUUUUACAUUUUUCAAGUGUCUGUACUUUAUCAUAGUGUUUUUCUUUAGAAAACUUUUACUUCAUAACAUUCCAAAGCAAAAUAUUGUACUUUUUACUGCACUGCGUUUCAUAUUAAAUAUAAUUUAAUACUUAAUUACAUUAGAAAUCUAGUACUUUCUUACUUUUACUCAUUUAAAAGUAAUUCAAAGUUUUAUUUGAGUACAAGAAUGUACUACAUUUUUAAUGUUUUUAAGUUUAAAGAUAAGUAAAGUACUUAAUAGUGACUGUAGGCUAUACAACAAUAAUCAGAAAAUACAUAUCUCAAAAUGUUUUAAAAGGUCUUCUUUAUCGCGACGACUUUAUCGCGACGACUGGUUAGCACGGCUUAACUGAGA